rnacentral:rRNA from 1 species
UACGUAGGGUGCAAGCGUUGUCCGGAAUUAUUGGGCGUAAAGAGCUCGUAGGCGGUCUGUCGCGUCGGAUGUGAAAAUCCAGGGCUCAACCCUGGACCUGCAUUCGAUACGGGCAGACUAGAGUUCGGUAGGGGAGACUGGAAUUCCUGGUGUAGCGGUGGAAUGCGCAGAUAUCAGGAGGAACACCGGUGGCGAAGGCGGCUCUCUGGAACGGUACUGACGCUGAGACGCGAAAGCGUGGGGAGCGAACAGG